AGAGUUUGAUCCUGGCUCAGAACGUACGCUGGCGGCACGCCUAACACAUGCAAGUCGAACGAAGUAGCAAUACUUAGUGGCAAACGGGUGAGUAAUAUGUGGGAAUCUACCCUUCGGUCUGGAAUAACAUGAGGAAACUUAUGCUAAUACUGGAUAAGCCUUUACAGGGAAAGCUUUAUGCUCCGAUUGAUGAGUCCACACUUGAUUAGUUAGUUGGUGAGGUAAUAGCUCACCAAGACAAUGAUCAAUAGCUGAUUUGAGAGGAUGAUCAGCCACAUUGGGACUGAGACACGGCCCAAACUCCUACGGGAGGCAGCAGUGGGGAAUUUUGCACAAUGGGGGAAACCCUGAUGCAGCGAUGCCGCGUGAGUGAAGAAGGCCCUUGGGUUGUAAAACUCUUUCGUCGGGGAAGAAAAUGACUGUACCCGAAUAAGAAGGUCCGGCUAACUUCGUGCCAGCAGCCGCGGUAAUACGAAGGGACCUAGCGUAGUUCGGAAUUACUGGGCUUAAAGAGCACGUAGGUGGUUAAAAAAGUUGAUGGUGAAAUCCCAGAGCUUAACUCUGGAACUGCCAUCAAAACUUUUUAGCUAGAGUGUGAUAGAGGAAAGUAGAAUUUCUAGUGUAGAGGUGAAAUUCGUAGAUAUUAGAAAGAAUACCAAUUGCGAAGGCAGCUUUCUGGAUCAUUACUGACACUGAGGUGCGAAAGCAUGGGUAGCGAAGAGGAUUAGAUACCCUCGUAGUCCAUGCCGUAAACGAUGUGUGCUAGACGUUGGAAAUUUAUUUUUCAGUGUCGCAGCGAAAGCGUUAAGCACACCGCCUGGGGAGUACGACCGCAAGGUUAAAACUCAAAUGAAUUGACGGGGACCCGCACAAGCAGUGGAGCAUGUGGUUUAAUUCGAAGAUACGCGCAGAACCUUACCAACACUUGACAUGUUCGUCGCGACUUUAAGAGAUUAAAGUCUUCGGUUCGGCCGGACGAAACACAGGUGCUGCAUGGCUGUCGUCAGCUCGUGUCGUGAGAUGUUGGGUUAAGUCCCGCAACGAGCGCAACCCUUACUUUUAGUUGCCACCAUUUAGUUGAGCACUCUGAAAGAACUGCCAGUGAUAAACUGGAGGAAGGUGGGGAUGACGUCAAGUCCUCAUGGCCCUUAUGUGUUGGGCUACACACGUGCUACAAUGGCACUUACAAUAGGAAGCAAAGAGGCGACUCUAAGCAAAUCCUUAAAAAGUGCCUCAGUUCGGAUUGUACUCUGCAACUCGGGUACAUGAAGCUGGAGUUGCUAGUAAUCGCGGAUCAGCGUGCCGCGGUGAAUACGUUCCCGGGUCUUGUACACACCGCCCG
rnacentral:rRNA from 1 species